GACGAACGCUGGCGGCGUGCUUAACACAUGCAAGUCGAACGCUGAAGCUCAGCUUUUGCUGGGCGGAUGAGUGGCGAACGGGUGAGUAACACGUGAGUAACCUGCCUCCUUCUUUGGGAUAACGCCUGGAAACGGGGGCUAAUACUGGAUAUUCACUGUUCUUCGCAUGGGGGCUGGUGGAAAGGGCGUUUCUGGUGUGGGAUGGGCUCGCGGCCUGUCGGCUUGUUGGUGGGGUUAUGGUCUAACAAGGCGUUGGCGGGUAGCCGGCCUGAGCGGGUGACCGGUAACAGUGGGACUGUGCUGAGGCCCAGGGUCGUCCGGGGGGCAGCAGUGGGGAAUAUUGGACAAUGGGCGAAGGCCUAAUGCAGCGACGCCGAGUGAGGGAUGGGGGCCUUAGGGUUGUGAACCUCUUUCGCUCAUGAUCAAGCCGCAACAAUGGUUGUGGUGAGGGUAGUGAGUAAGGAAGCGCCGGCUAACUACGUG
rnacentral:rRNA from 1 species